rnacentral:tRNA from 1 species
CGGGGCGUAGCUCAGCUUGGCUAGAGCGCAUGGUUCGGGACCAUGAGGUCGCUGGUUCAAGUCCAGUCGCCCCGA